GUUUCUGCCUUGAGUUCCUGUCUUGACUCCCUCAAAUGAUAGACUCUCACAUGGAGAGAUUCAUGAGAGAUUCCCUCAAGUAAUCUAUAUCCUGGAGUCUCCAUCUCAAGCCUCCAGGAGCUGUUACACAGCAAUCUCUGUCCUACCCGUUAAUGAUAGUGUGAACUGAAUGUGAAAUGAACUCAUCUUAACAGCUGGUCUGCCUCAGAUCCAAGGCUUUGAGACCAUCAACCGCUUGGCGAUGCUGACCUAAGUACAAACAGUUCUCUGGCACCACGUGGUUAUAUACAAAUGACAUCCUGGGUGGAUCCUCAGAAGAAUGCUUGUACCAUCCACCGCAGUUCAGCCUCCUUUGAUUUCGUAUUCCCAGAGCAAAGGUCUGCCUAUGCUUUAAUUGUCGUAUGGGUCUUCGAUGUUCUGUUCCAUCUCGUCUACCAUAAAUUUGUCCUCCGUAUCCUGAAGGAUAUAAGAAUUACUGAUACAUGCUUUGUUUGGCUCCAAUGCAGAGGAUGAGAAUGGCAACUCCUGUCAUGUUUUGGAUCUUUAAUGUCCCUAUAGACCCUUAUGGGAAAGCUUUAUUCUCCAGGCUGUGACACUCAUAGCAGAUGAUAGACCCUUUAAGAGGUAAAACCUGGUUUAAAUCGACCAAAGGGAUAUACUCCUGGAAGAGAUAGUAGGAAUGGAGCCUUGAUCAAUCAUACACACUCUCUCUCCUCUCUCUGUCCCUCCAUUUUUCCUUACUAUUUUUAGAAAGAUGAGCAGGUUUUCCACCAGCUAUUCACCCACAUGAGGACUCUGCUGAAGAGGAGGAACCCACUGAUCACAGAAUGAAGUUUUUAGCAUUGUGACCCAAAAUAAAUCUUACCUCCUUAAGUAGAUUGUUUCAACGAUUUUGUUUCAGUAACAGAAAGCUGACUAAUGUAACUUUCAGCUGCAUCAUGUUUUGAAUUACUGAAAAGGAAACUUUAAGUUUCUUCAGGCAUUCAAUAUCUUCAUCUAUAAAAUAAAGAUAAUAAUAACCUAGAAUGGUGGGUGGUGUAAAUAAAUUCUGUGCAAUGAAAUUAUUGGAACAGAGCAUGACAUGUACUAAGUGAUAAUAAAUAUUAAGAGAUCUGAA
rnacentral:sRNA from 1 species